CUCUCUCUCUCUCUCUCUGUGUGUGUGUGUGUGUGUGUAAAGUUCAGAAGAAAGUUUGUGUGGAACACUUUCUCUUCUUUCAAGACAUGGAUCCAUGGAAUUGAACUCAGUGCCUUCUGAUCCUCAUCUCAGCUAAGUCUUCUGGGGCAGUGUUCUUAAAAUGAAAUUUCUAUCCACUACUGUACUUAUGCAAAACCUGGAGGACUUCAAGCUGCACACCAAAGUCAGAACUGUAAAACUCAGACCUCAAUAUCUUCCAUUUUCUAGCUCCUGUAUUAUUUACAUUCAUGUUAUGCUUCGUUAUUAACCUGUUUUGCCUCUGGUAGCAGAAAUGAACUGUACAGUGAUGGUUGGUGUUGAGCUUCUAUCUAAACAAAAUAGUUAUUCUGGCCCCUUCAAUGCCACUGCAUUUGUUCCCAGCACUGCUCUAUGUGACAUGUAACCUCUAUGCAAAAAUAAAGUUCACAUGACACCUUU